UAGGCCUUCUCAAUAUAAAAAAUAUGGCAAUAAUUGACUCCUUAUUUACCUGCGCCUUUCUAAGAGAGUCUUCACGCAAUCCUUUCCGUCUCUUGGUCCGUUUAGGUACCGGAAUGUUUCAAUGGAGCUUUAGUGUUAAGGCUCAUUAGUUAGUUUUCAGCUUUUUAGUUUUUAUUGAAGUAUCUAGAUGAUGAUAGGAAUGCUCUUUAAGUUUUAUGUUUGGCGUGGCACUGUACGCGUCGAACGGGGUUCAUGUUUAUAUCUUUGAAAGCAUCAUUUCUGACAGCCCCUGAACGCAACAUCACAGCUCGCUAAUUUGUCCUGAAGUCUUCUCUGACAACAGAACAUCGAUCAUCUCCUCUGUGAACCUCACUGCUGGUGAAUUAUUGCUGACACUGAGCUAAGUGGCCUAGUCUUCCCUGUCUACUCCACUUUGGACGUCUUGGUGAUCUGACAGUAAGUUCCCAGAUGAGUCAAAACACAUAGUAAAGUUGAAGUGAAACACUGAUGCCCAAGACCGACCGUGACUGUGGAAGUGACAUGGACUGUAAAAACAAUCCUGUGACAGUGUAUUGAUGUAAUACUAGCCUCUUACUGUUUUAAUGUCUAUAUCUGGAGAUAUUUCACAGGCAGGAAACAAGUAUUUAACUCAACUCUUAACAUAAUAAUAAAAGCCUGCUAACAUUUUUUUGUCAAAAGCAUCCCAUCAUUUGUUAAAACACAUUUUAUUCUGAAAUAUUUGCAGUAUAGUGUAGGAAAAUGCAAUAACUUUGAAAAAAGUACCGGCCUUUAAUAUUAAGAUUAUUUUUUCUAUUUAUUAAGGAGCUUCUUAACCCGUUAGUUUAAUGUUAAUAUGAAUGUAUAAUAUAUUAUACUGUUUAAUUAUAGUAAUUAUAAGAGAACAAUUAGAAAGAAGUGCUGGCAGUAGCAACAACACUGUGUGCAAACUACUUGUGUGAGAAACACAGGGAGUGUGGUCCGGCCUUGAGGUGUCUUAAUCCAGCCAAAUUAAUAAACGCAUUUAAGAACAACUUUUAAAUAUUAUUACAUGGGUUUAUGAUCUGGUCAUUUAACUAGAAACCUUCAGUGAUCUUUAAGCUUACAGUAGAGGUUACUCAGUUUGUUGUUCGACCUGCUGUCUAAUGCAUGUUUUAUUGUGUCUUACAGGUGUCCUGCUGGCCAGCAUCUCUCCUCUAUCAUAAACGCUCUCUGUCUAUCCUAUACCUUCUAUCCACUCUGUCUCAUUAUUGGAACCUCUAUCUAUCCUAUCACAUCUACCGCUCUGUCUUUGAUAUCCACAACUCUAUCUUUGUAUCCCCCUUCUAUCCACUCUGUCUCAUUAUUGGAACCUCUAUCUAUCCUAUCAAAUCUACCGCUCUGUCUACAAUAUACAAUUCAGGUUACUAAUACCUGAUCUAACCACAUAACGUUGGUUACCCUUUAUUACAACAACCUCACAAGUACCUGAUCCAUCUUUUGAUGAACAAACUCUGCUGAACCACAUUACGUUGGUACCCUUUGUUACAACAACCUCAGGUUACAAGUACCUGUUCUACUAGAUCUACUAUCAGAUUAUCCUCUUUUAAUCUUCUAUCUACACGCAAUAGAAUACGAUUACUAUCUACAAAUUGGGCAAAGCUUUUGGAAUAAACUGAGUCUGUUUUAGUCAGAAUUAGUUUGAACGUAAAAUUGGAAAAAAGGUUAACAGGAUAUUUAUACACAUAGCACGGUUUCUUUAAUUGAAUAUCACUAGAUAUAUUAGCAAAAUUAUUGUUUACUUUAUUUAAAAUCUUUUUCAUAUACACAUACAUUGUUUAAGUGUCCAAGUGUUUUGUUGUUAAACUUUUCAUACUGAAAUAAAAUACAAGCAUCUGUCAGAAUUGGAUUUAUUUGACGUUUCCUGUCUGCAGACCCAACGUUCUUUUGGAGCAUUCAUCUGCCAUCAAACUCACACCACUGUUCCUGGUUUUGAAUAUAAACUAGUAUAACAUAGUAUUCAUAUUGUAUUUAAUAUCUUGGUUUUGUACGACAACAUUUGUGGUUUUGAAACAUCAACAAUGCCAAGGAAGAGUAAGAGGUCACAAGAUCAGAGCCUGCGCUGGCAGCGGCCCAAUGAGAAUCCCUGUGCAACAACGACUGAAGGAGCAGAAUGUGUUGGUCCUGAGAGCAGUGAAGAGGUAAAGAUGUCUGCAGAGUGUAAACGUGUGGAGCAGGAAGGUCAGCCUGAUGCUUCAUGUGC
ensembl:lncRNA